rnacentral:tRNA from 1 species
GGGUGGGUAGCUCAGUGGUUAGAGCCUAGGUUUCGUAACCAGAAAAUCCUGAGAUCGAAUCCCGCUGAAGCCA